rnacentral:rRNA from 1 species
GACGAACGCUGGCGGCGUGCCUAAUACAUGCAAGUCGAACGGGGUUGCACGGCGGAAGCCUUCGGGUGGAAGCUGUGCAGCCUAGUGGCGGACGGGUGAGUAACGCGUGGGCAACCUGCCCUCCAGCCCGGGAUAACUUCCGGAAACGGGAGCUAAUCCCGGAUGCGGAGCAAAGGACGCAUGUUUUUUGCUCGAAAGCUUCGGCGCUGGAGGAUGGGCCCGCGUCCCAUUAGCUAGUUGGUGAGGUAACGGCUCACCAAGGCGACGAUGGGUAGCCGGCCUGAGAGGGUGAUCGGCCACACUGGGACUGAGACACGGCCCAGACUCCUACGGGAGGCAGCAGUAGGGAAUCUUGCGCAAUGGGCGAAAGCCUGACGCAGCGACGCCGCGUGAGGGAAGAAGGCCUUCGGGUCGUAAACCUCUGUCCUUGGGGACGAUGAUGACGGUACCCAAGGAGGAAGCCCCGGCUAACUACGUGCCAGCAGCCGCGGUAAUACGUAGGGGGCGAGCGUUGUCCGGAAUCACUGGGCGUAAAGGGUGCGUAGGCGGCUUGGCAAGUCCUGUGUGAAAGGUCGCGGCUCAACCGCGGUGGGUCAUGGGAAACUGCCAAGCUCGAGUGCCGGAGAGGAUAGCGGAAUUCCCGGUGUAGCGGUGAAAUGCGUAGAGAUCGGGAGGAACACCAGUGGCGAAGGCGGCUAUCUGGAAGGUCACUGACGCUGAGGCACGACAGCUGGGGGAGCAAACAGGAUUAGAUACCCUGGUAGUCCCAGCCGUAAACGAUGAGUGCUAGGUGUUGCGGGUAUCGACCCCUGCAGUGCCGAAGUCAACACAAUAAGCACUCCGCCUGGGGAGUACGGCCGCAAGGCUGA